CCUACGGGAGGCAGCAGUGGGGAAUCUUGCGCAAUGGGCGAAAGCCUGACGCAGCGACGCCGCGUGAGGGAAGAAGGCCUUCGGGUUGUAAACCUCUUUCAGGAGGGACGAAGCUACUCGGGUGAACAGCCCAGAGGGUGACGGUACCUCCAGAAGAAGCCCCAGCUAACUACGUGCCAGCAGCCGCGGUAAUACGUAGGGGGCAAGCGUUGUCCGGAUUUACUGGGCGUAAAGCGCGUGUAGGCGGCUAUGCAGGUCCGUUGUGAAAACUGAAGGCUUAACCUUCAGACGUCGACGGAAACCGCGUGGCUAGAGUCCGGAAGAGGAGAGUGGAAUUCCUGGUGUAGCGGUGAAAUGCGCAGAUAUCAGGAAGAACACCAAUGGCGAAGGCAGCUCUCUGGGACGGUACUGACGCUGAGACGCGAAAGCGUGGGGAGCGAACAGGAUUAGAUACCCUGGUAGUCCACGCCGUAAACGAUGGGUGCUAGGUGUGGGAGGUGUCGACUCCUUCCGUGCCGCAGCUAACGCAUUAAGCACCCCGCCUGGGGAGUACGGCCGCAAGGCUAAAACAUAAAGGAAUUGACGG
rnacentral:rRNA from 1 species